AUACAAUAAUUCAGAUCGCCAUCAAUGCAAAAGACAGAUUUUAACUUCGUUACUAAAGACACACACGCAGGCGUAUGCAAAUAGUACUGAACCCAGGUUUAUAUAUUACACAAAACGUUUACAGGCUAAGGCAUUUCAGCCUUAGAAACGAGCUCACGCUCGGCUACAUCUUGCUCACUCACAAAUUUCUUCACAAAUAGAUAUAUCUCACACCCUAUCACAAUACACUUAUAUAAGAUGCAUUAGGAAGGAUUGAUCAGAUCUUCUCCUAGUUUUUCUACAAUGAAAGCUCUCCAAAAGCGUGCAUGGCUGUAUCCAUCUUAUCCGCUUUAAAUCUGCUUUAACUUAUCCUCUUUAAAUCCACUUUAAACGUAUUUUUCUGCUUUAAAAUAGACUUUCCUCUGUUUUGAUCCUCUGGUCCACGUUUGCUUUCUUUGGUGCUGAGUGCUCCCGCAUCAGACUCCCGAGGCACAAAAAUGUAUGACCUCCUGGUCAUAUGCUUCUGGUCUUCAUAAUAUCAAUUUUAUCCACUGCAUUCCUUCCUUCACUAGAACUGCUUCAAUGAUUUUUUUGUGAGAUGCAAUCAACCUCUACAGUAACAGUCUCCUCUGUUACAUGAUACCUCACCAAGCCCUCCGCACUCGGUCUUUUGGCAUCCUUCUCUAGGUUGCUGCAAAAGGUGUUGGUUUAUUAAUACAGCAUGACGGUGGUCAUGGAAGUCAAAAUCCGCUGAGUGUGUAACAACUCACCUGCCGAAUCAACUAACCCUCAAAAUGGAUGGCGCUAAAGUGCACAACCUAUACUCGACCGCCAGAGCAAUUGCUUAGCUUGGAUGAGUAGGAGGAUGUUGGGUCAUUGAGAAACCUCAGGCAUGAGCUUGGGUGGAUUAGCCCCCCGGUGCAGAUCUUGUUGGUAGUAGCAAAUAUUCAAUUGAGAACUUUGAAGACUAAAGUGGGGAAAGGUUCCAUAUGAAUAGAACUUUGACAUGGUUUAGUUGAUCCUAAGAUAUGGGGAAGCCUUGUAUCAAGGGUGCACUUUGCAGGAGCAUUGAAAGGGAAUCAGGUUAAUAUUCCUGAACCAGUACAUGGUGGCGUGCAACAAUAUUAGGAAAUCUGAAGACGUUGUAAAGUUAUAUUUUCUUUUUAAUAGCUUACCCACCUUGGAAUCGGUUCACCCGGAGAUAGGGUCUAGCAUAUGGAAGAGCAUCAUACGUCUUACGGUGUCCGAUGCACCCUUGGCUACCCUUGAACAUAUGGAGGACCGAGUACCAUUAAUGCCCGGUCAUACUCAUAAUCACAUCAGGUCUCCAAGGUGAACAACCUCUGACCAAUAGAACAAUGCAGGUAAGGGAAGUUGGUAAAACGAAUUUGUAACUUUGGGAAAAGGAUUGUCUCUGAGGGCUGGGCCUAGGGGUCUGCACCCUCAACUCAUGGGUUGUUGGUAAUCUUCCUGAGUGGCUCUCGCUGCGAGGGUGGGAAGUUGUGUGCCAAUUUGGCUACGGGCCUAGAAUGCCCCCUAUAGGGGGCUCUUCCCUAGGCAACAAACAAUCGACUCAAAACUGGUAUGGAUAAGGGGAAUCUGACUGUUUAAUUAAAACAAAGAAAUGUGAUGGUACCUAUGGAUACUGAUGCAAUGUGAUUUCUUCCCAUUUCUCUAAAUGUCAAAGUGAAGAAAUUCAACAAAGCAUAGGUAAACGACGGGAGUAAAUAUGACUCUCUUAUGGUAGCUGAAUGCCUCGUUGUCUAAUUAGUGACGUGCAUGAAUGGAUUAAUGAGAUUCUCAUUGUCCCUAUCUACUAUCUAGUGAAACCAAAGCCAAGGGAAUGGGAUUGGAAUAAUCAGUGGGAAAAGAAGACCCUUUUCAGCUUGACUCUAGUCCGACUUUGUGAAAUGAAUUUAGAGGUGUAGAAUAAGUGGGAUCCAUUUUCGUCGCAAGUGAAAUAGCACUAAUUUUAACGUUAUUUUACUUAUUUCGUGGGGAGAAGAUGGGUCACUACCCCUAUUUUUGGCCUUCAGGCAUAUUUUAGCAGGUCAAUCCAGGUGGAAGACAUUAUCAAGUAGGGAUUUUGGCUAGGGUGGCAUAUCUGCUAAAAGAUAACGCAGGUGUCUUAAGAUGAGCUCAAAGAGAACAUAAAUAUUGUGUGGAACAAGGGGUAAAAGAUCAUUGAUUUUGAUUUUUAGUAUGAAUACAAACUAUGAAAGUGUGGCUUAUUGAUACUUUACAUUUUUGGAAUUUGAAGCUAGAGGUGUUAGAAAAGUUACAACAGGGAUGGCAGCCAAGUGUUCGUAGCGACGUUGCUUUUUGAUCCUUCGAUGUCGAGUCUUCCUAUCACUGUGAAAUAUAAUUCAACAAGUGUUGGAUUGUUCAUCCACCAAUAAGGAACGUGAGCCAGUUUUAGACUGUAGUGAGACAGGUUAGUUUUACCCUACUGAUGAACCACACCGCAAUAGUAAUUCAACUUAGUACAAGAGGAACCAUUGAUUCACACAAUUAGUCAUCCUUCUUGGUUGAAACGCCAGUGGCGUGAAGCUACUAUUUGUCAGAUUAUGACUAAACACCUUUAAGUCAUAAUCCACGGUAGAAGCAGUGCAUGUCACUCUUUGACUAUAUCUUGACCCAGAGUAGGGGCAUCGCUUUGUCACCCCUAGGGGCCCGUGUCAUUUGCAAACUGUGAUUGUGAAGCUUCUCAGUUAGGGGAGAUUUGAAGUUCAAUUCCAAAUGGUCAUUGAGAAGUAUCCUUUGCGGAUGACUUAAAUACACGAUGGGGUAUUGUAAGUGGUAGAGUGGGCUUGCUACCACGAUCCAAUGAGAUUCAACCCUUGGU
rnacentral:rRNA from 1 species